UUUGAAACGCUAAAAGAAUAAAAUUUUCAUUCCUCGUCAUCGGGUAUUUGGAGGUUUUUCCCCUUUGCUCGAGCUAGAAUAUAUAGGUGGAGCUGAGAAAGGAUGAGGUCCAGCCACGAAGGGAAGAGGACAAUGCUUUGGCUUUUCUCCGAAUGAUGGCCACGUCCCAGAAAGCGAACAUUACUAAGGCGGUGAGAAACACCAUUUUGUCUUGACAAAGCCAUCUUUUGGUGAGUUGGACUCGAGGUGCUCACCUGCCCAGCCUUCGGAAAAGCACACCAGGCGCCAAGUGUGGGUCAUGCUUAAAGCGCCCUCAGUAGCGCCAGGUACAAGGCGCAAACGAGGUGCACCCUUGCCCUUCUAGGCACAGUAUAUAAGUUAGGGCAAAAUGUUGCCUUAACUUAAAACAUUUUAUUACACGGCAACAGCAGCAGCUAAGGAGAGGAAAGAGCAGCAGCAGGAAGAAAAAGAGCAAAAAAAAAAAAAAAGGAAAAAAGGAAGAAAAAUUAAAUGAGAGGAAGAAAAGAUCAGAAUUUUCAAGAAUCAACGAUCAACAAAUACUGGAUGUCUGUUUUAGUAGGAACUUCAGCAUAAACUAUUAAAGGUGGCAGAAAUGGAAGGGGUGGUAGGGAAGGAAGAGUUUAUAUAAGAGAUAUGCCAGCACAAGAUGUGAAGUCAAUGAAGCAGGAGAUGUUCCAACUGAGCAACCUGUGAUAUGUAGUAAAAAAUCAACUCUUAUUUAGAAUGCAACUCAACCUACUGAGAACUGAAGAUAUUAGGAUUUACGCUUUUGUAAAUAGAGUGCUUUUUGGGACCAUGAUAAUAUAUUUUGCAAAUUGUGGUAUUGCUCUUGAUGGUCUGUAAUUGUAAUUAAGGGAAAUUUUGGUUUACUCUUUUUUGCACAUUUUAGAUGUAGCUUCAACAUUAAUUUUUUGAGAAUAUAAUGAAAUUCAUCUACUUAUGGCCUUA